rnacentral:rRNA from 1 species
UACAGAGGGGGCAAGCGUUGUUCGGAAUUACUGGGCGUAAAGGGCGCGUAGGCGGCCCGCUAAGUCGAACGUGAAAUCCCCGAGCUCAACUCGGGAACUGCGUCCGAUACUGGCGGGCUUGAAUCCGGGAGAGGGAUGCGGAAUUCCAGGUGUAGCGGUGAAAUGCGUAGAUAUCUGGAGGAACACCGGUGGCGAAGGCGGCAUCCUGGACCGGCAUUGACGCUGAGACGCGAAAAGCGUGGGGAGCGAACAGG